rnacentral:tRNA from 1 species
CGCCUACGUGGCCAGCGAAGGAACAGGGCUGGCGAUUUACGACAUCGCCAACCGCGCCAUGCCGGAGCAUAUCGGCGAUCUGGCGCUGGGCGGCGCCC